rnacentral:rRNA from 1 species
UAUCAAUAAGCGGAGGAAAAGAAACCAACAGGGAUUGCCCUAGUAACGGCGAGUGAAGCGGCAACAGCUCAAAUUUGAAAUCUGGCCCCUAGGGUCCGAGUUGUAAUUUGCAGAGGAUGCUUUGGGCGAGGUGCCUUCCGAGUUCCCUGGAACGGGACGCCACAGAGGGUGAGAGCCCCGUCUGGUCGGACACCGAGCCUGUGUAAAGCUCCUUCGACGAGUCGAGUAGUUUGGGAAUGCUGCUCAAAAUGGGAGGUAUAUGUCUUCUAAAGCUAAAUAUUGGCCAGAGACCGAUAGCGCACAAGUAGAGUGAUCGAAAGAUGAAAAGCACUUUGAAAAGAGGGUUAAAAAGUACGUGAAAUUGUUGAAAGGGAAGCGCCUAUGACCAGACUUGGGCCCGGUGAAUCAUCCAGCGUUCUCGCUGGUGCACUUUGCCGGGCACAGGCCAGCAUCAGUUUGGCGCGGGGGACAAAGGCUUCGGGAAUGUGGCUCCCUCGGGAGUGUUAUAGCCCGCUGCGCAAUACCCUGCGCCGGACUGAGGUACGCGCAUCGCAAGGAUGCUGGCGUAAUGGUCAUCAGCGACCCGUCUUGAAACACGGACCAAGGAGUCGUCUUCGUAUGCGAGUGUUCGGGUGUCAAACCCCUACGCGUAAUGAAAGUGAACGCAGGUGAGAGCUUCGGCGCAUCAUCGACCGAUCCUGAUGUUCUCGGAUGGAUUUGAGUAAGAGCAUACGGGGCCGGACCCGAAAGAAGGUGAACUAUGCCUGUAUAGGGUGAAGCCAGAGGAAACUCUGGUGGAGGCUCGCAGCGGUUCUGACGUGCGAAUCGAUCGUCAAAUAUGGGCAUGGGGGCGAAAGACUAAUCGAACCUUCUAGUAGCUGGUUUC